CGAAAUGCGAUACGUAAUGCGAAUUGCAGAAUUCCGUGAAUCAUCAAAUCUUUGAACGCAACUGGCGCUCUCAUUAACGUGGGAGCAUGCCUCUUUCAGUAUCCACUACAUUUUCACUCGACUCACAUGUGUUUUAUUUUUAUAUAAGACUUGUGUGAGCCAGGAAAUUGAGCUUGCUGCUUUGUUUGUAUGAACGAGUCAGCUAGCUUGAAGUAUGUUAUUUGUUUUCGCAGUGAUGUGAUUUGGCAGUGAUUUGAAUUGAUCAGUUGUUUUUGGUUAAGCUUUUAUUGGCUUUUAAAAAAGACAACAGAACAGCUCAUACACUCUCACUCCCAACAUAAUGAUCUCUCACUCAAACAAUUAUAUGUGAGCCAGUAUGUGUUCAUCUAAGAAUACACUACUCAGAGAGCUCACACAUUUAAUUAAACAAUAAGAUCUGAAAUGAGGUAAGAGGACCCGCUGAAUUUAAGC
rnacentral:misc_RNA from 1 species